rnacentral:lncRNA from 1 species
CCCUCUUUUAGAUCUCCAUUCUCCUCCACAUAUUUCUUCCCUAUAAAUAAAAUAUAUAUUAUUCUCACUCACUUGUCAAUUCCAAUCUCCCAAAAUCCUCCUUUAAUUGUGUGUCUCGUUGACAUCUUCACAUAAUGUCCACCACACCAUCAAAUUCCCCUCAAUUUCACCAUUUUAAAUUCAUCAAAAUCUAAAUGAGAGAAAAUAAAAAAUAAUAAUUUCAUUAUAAAUUCUGAUUAUAUCUAGUCCCUAAUGCGUUUUAGUGCACUGAAACCCACAUCUUCCUGUAUUAAUAAUAAUAUCUAUAUCAAUCGAGUUAAGACUUAAUUGAUUCCUUUAUUUUAUUUUUAUCAUUAAUACUCAACACAAGCACAUGUAUUACACAUAUGAAUAAUAAUUAAAAUGGCAUAGCUUUUUUGUGAGUAUUAUAUAGAAAUCAUAAACUAGCAUAGCAUUACACAUGUAAUAAAUAUUUAUUGCAUAAAAUUAUGAAAAUAGAAAAAUUUAACUCAACAAAAUUAAAGGAUAUUGUUUGAUCAUGGCUGAAAUUUCGAAAUUCAAAACAUAUAAAGAUUAAAAAAUACCCAGUGUUAAGAAAGAGGAGAAGUAGAGGGACGUGAUGUUCGGUUCACUCGCGUAGAGCGGAGAGUCGACAGUGAAGAGGAAGAGUAGAACGGGAGAGUAGAUAAGCGGCUUGGGAGAGGAGGAAGAAGAUUUUCAUUCUCUCGUGCGCACAACUAUAGUGGGUUAUCCUUUAUCCUAUAGUGUCACGUGAUGGGUUAUACAAUAGGUUGUAUGAUUGUACGAACAUGUCAAACAUCAAUGGUCAUUGCAGAUUAGUUGCC